AUGUAUGAGGAUGUUAUACACUGGCGGUUCACGGGUUUUUAUGGUCAUCCGAACUGGAAUGAACGAAAAUUAUCUUGGGAUGACAUUCACAACUUGAACAAUAAGGGCGACCACCCCUGGGUGGUAUUGGGGGAUUUUAAUGAAAUUUUAUAUCCGUCGGAAAAAGAAGGCGGUAAUGCGAGACCAAAUGGAAUGACGAGAGAUUUCCGUGAAUGUCUCAUGGAUUGUUGGCUGGAGGAUUUGGGUUAUAUUGGCGACCCAUUCACUUGGAGAAGAGGUGAUGUAUGCGAGUGCCUGGAUCGGGCGUUUUGCAACACUGGUUGGGCCCAUAAAUUUCCCCGAGCGGCGGUGAUCAACGAAGAGCAUAUUCACUCUGACCACCGCCUGCUGGUCCUGGAUAUGGAUUAUUUGGAUGACCAAAUUUUCGGAAGACCGGAUGGGCAUGGGAAACAAUUCAAAGCUGGGUGGUUAAAGGAAGAGACGAUCACUGAGAUUGUUAAUGUUGCAUGGGAGAAAGCAAAGCUAGCAGGGAUUGGCCCUUCUCUUGCCGAUCAAACGAGAGUUGUGCAUGCCGAUUUACAUUCUUGGGAUCGGUAA
rnacentral:rRNA from 1 species